rnacentral:tRNA from 1 species
UGAUGAGUAGUUUAACAAAAACAAUAGAUUUCGGCUCUUUAAAUUAUGAUUUAAUUCAUACUCAUCAU